UGCUUUAGACCGCUUCGCCACUCGGGAGAACAAUGCCAUUUGUUCAGAUAACAGAUGAUUUAUUGAUCUAUUAAAUCAUUCCUUCAAGCAUCAGUCUCACUUCAGAAUCCAAACCGGAUGUAAUAUAUUUCUUGCCACUGGUUGGCUUUGUGACUCUAGUCUGAUUUCCAAUAGGGAACACUGUAAACAGAAAGAGUUGCAUACUUCUUCACCCAGCACGGUCACUGAGCUGGCAAGCUAAAGUUAGCUAGUGAGUCACAGAAAUGUACGUUCAGUCUGUUAAUUAUUUCAGUCCGAUUGGACUUAUCCUACUCAAAUCAACAUGGCUCAACAUAGUUUUUUCGUUUUUGACCUCGACAUUCUUGCUGGAUAGAUACUUUGAUAGCUAACAUGUGGGCUAAUCUCCUGUGGAUGCCUCCAUCUAGUUCCCUAGAGCAGCAGACCGGCCCUCCAUUCCCAAACCUGAAGCCCCCUGUCCCCAGCAGGAAUACCAAGAAAAACUUCCUAUUGAGGAAAUCUAAUCACUGAAUGUCCUACUACAAGGAUGUGGUCAGGUUGACACACUUAUGAGCCACAAUAACACAGAUCACACACACCAGAGAUUGCGAGGGCAAGUACAAUGAUCAGUUGGGAAAUUGAAGUUGGUUGCCCAACAUACACACACACUUAAUUUAGGUUAGUGUGUAGUCAAGGCUUGAUCGUUAAAAUAAUAUAGUGUCUAUCUUUCAGAUCUGUCAACCAGGCUCGGUGGGUGACAGGUAAGCGUGUUUCCACAAAGAUGUUCCAGACCUGGAGUGGCACGCUGGAACUUCCAGAGGCUUGUAGACCUGAAGCAGUGUGAGAUCUGACACCCCUACUAGCUCAACCACAGUUCUCACAGCUGCAGUCGUCUGCUCCUGCACCUGCUACACCGGCCACGACAGGUGAUUCAGAUCUGCCAUGCACUCCACCACGGCCCCAGACAGCCUCACCCAGAAGUGCAUGCACCGGGCCUAUCACAAAGCAGAGAUGGGUGGCUGACAAGGAAAAAUAAAACACAACACGCACACACACUCUCUGUUACACACACAUUAUCCCCAAUGUAAAUAAAUUGUAAUUAUUUUAUUUUAGGAUUGGAGAUAUCUUACGCCUACAUAUCCAUUAUCAAUAGCUACAUAAUUACUCUAUCCAAUCAAAGUGUGAUUGAUAAUAUUGUAAGAGUAUUGCUUAAUUUGUAGUUUGAGGAAAUUCUGUGUGCUUUUUUUCUGAGUUGAAAAACAUGCCUCCCUCUCUCUCUCACUCACACACACCCAAUGUAAAGACAUUGUUUAUUUUAUGUAUGUUCUAUUUUAUUUGAGGAUUGUGUGCAAUAAAGUACAUUCACAGUUAAA